GAUGUCUAAAUUGGAAACUGUCGCGACGGGAAAAGGAGUUGAAAGAAAGAGAUCAGCCGAUGGUGCUGAGAAUGACAGAACAGCUACACCGUCACAAACAGAACUUGAUGUAGGGCCCUGAAUACAAAUUCCAACAUCUAAUGCACCAGGGCCAUCUACCAGUUCAGCAGAUUCGGCAAUUAAUGCAGAGUCUGUAAUGCCUGUGUGUCAUUCACUAGACAUCACUGAACAAGGAAAUAUAUCAACCACAGAAGAAGCUUUUGUCCAAGCUCAAACACCUGUCAAAUACAAUCUUCCUGUUUCUGUCACUUUGCGUAAACAGUUAAAGAAUUUAAGAUUGUCAAAAGAUGAAAGACCAUACCUUUAUGACUGUAUCAAAAUAAGCAAAAAACUACUGUUUGCCGACUUUAUGAAUGAACGACUUUUUAUUUGUAAUUUAGACGGCACUGAUAUCCAUCCAAUGCCUCUGUCUUGUGGACCUUGGUAUAUGACAGAAAUAGAUAGUAAUACUGUAGCAGUAUCCUGUACAAACGGCAGUAUCAUAAUGAUAAUAAAUAUAUCUUCAGGCUCUGUCACCAGCACAAUCAAAACCAGUGCUUUCUGCUUUGGAAUCUCAUAUUAUGAAAAUAACCUGUACGUUGUUAUUUAUCGGAGUAAACUACAUGUGAUGGACCUAACUGGUGAAGUAAUACGUACUAUAACUUUACCUUCAGACAGCAUCACCAACAUUACAGUAGACAGCGACAGGUUGGUCUGUAUAGACAAUGCAUCAAUAUACUGCUGCUCCUUAGAUGGAAAACUGAUGUGGCAGUUCACAAAUGAUAAAUUUCAAAAUUUACAUCGUGUGACAACAGAUUGUGAGAGAAAUGUGUACGUGACUGAUUUCUGUACGGACAAUGUAGUAGCAGUAUCUAAAGACGGUACACAUUAUAGAGAAAUUCUAACUGAAUCAGAUGGACUGGCUAGGCCGUGGGGAAUUCGUUUUGACAAAAAAGAAAAUUGUCUGUUUGUGUGUAAUGGUUUUGACGGAAAUGCCUUUUUUUUUUACGUAAAAAAGAAACUCGCGUAAAUGAAUAUGACUUAAUUUAUUCGGAUUCGGAAUUUGGUUUUGCAUUCAGUCAUUCAAAAUGCUUAGGCCAAAGACGUGUUGUUUACUUCCCCCUUCGGAAAAUCUUAAAAACCAUGAAAAUAUGUUUUCGGUGAACUUUAAAUUGCGAUGAAUUUUUAAUUUUGAACUAUAGAUGUCAUGAAAAAUAUCAUUUGUCUCGACAUAAAUAUAUUCUAUAUGGAUGGUUAGUAAAGUAGAACAAAUUUUAUACUUUUUUUGGUAUGCUGUCUCGCUGACGAUUACUCUUCGGCCCUUUUAUUCGAUAAUCCCCCCCCCCAUUUUCCACUAAACUUAUUAUCCCCCUUUUUAUCCCAAUAGACUUAAAUUAACUUAUCCACUUUUUAUCCUAGUGGACGUAAAGUAAGGUAUUAUCCCCCUCUUUAUCCCGGUAAAGUCAAAUAUACGUAUUAUAUUAAUUGAUUAUACGUCUCGUCCUUAAUAUGAAUGAUAUAUUUGCUAUACUCAAUUAACCAAUUAAUCAUAUAUAAUUAUAUGACUCUUCAAGAUUUCGUUCGUGUGUUUCUCCUUGUUAAUCAAAUAAAACACAUGAAUGGUAUAACAUGUGCAAAUAAUAAAGAUAUCCAAAGCAAAAGCAAGAUACGGAAAAAUCAAAAAUGGAUUUGACAAUUUAUCUAAAUUUUUGUAUUGGAUGAAAGUUUUAGUUUUAUUUUUCGACAUUUUAAAGAUUUUGGAAUUUUCGUUUUCUAUAUGUAUUUCCAUAUGUAUAUUCAAAGAAAAAGUUUUUCACCAAAAAUUCUACUUUUUUAAAAACAUGAAUAUGGCUCCAUUAAUAUUUUCCUAGAUUUAUCUAUAAAUCAUACUCCGUUAUAACAAAAAAAGCGAAAAUGACGUCAAGACAAACAAGUCCUGAAAAUACUGAAAAGAAAACAGACUGUUCAAUUCGAACCUUCAAAAAAAGAAUUAUACAAAAAUAGAUGAGCUAUAUUUUCAAUCAGCUAAUAUAUGAAAUUGUACUUUUGAGUAACGAAGAUAUAUUUUCUUAAUGAAAAUAUUUUCUGUUUAUUAUACACUGUAAUAUUGUAUAAUUGUGCAGCUGAUUUAUUAAACUUACUGUAUGCUGAAAAUAUA